AAAGCUGUACACAACUCUGCAAAAUUAGGUUAGAACUUCCUGAUCCAACUGAAGAAAUAAGAACCGUUGAUGUUGAAUUUGUGUUCGGAAAUACAGAAAUAAGUGUAAGUGCAAAGGAUCGCAAUUCUGGAAAAGAAAUUAAAACAAAACUCAAUCUUAUAUAAUUUUAUUGCUGUCAGCUGUGUUCUUACUAAGUUGAAAACGUAUUUGUAGCUUUCAUUUGACAUUCUUUUGGCAUUUUACUAAUCGUUUUAUAAAGGUUAUUUAUGAAUUUCUUGUAUUCGGUACCAGAUAUCAUCAAUCAAUUUGAUAAAGUGGAACCAGAGACAUUUACAUAAAGAAAGUUACUCAAGACUUUAACCUUAUCUUUUCUAUAUUAUAUUAGACUGGUUUCUGC
rnacentral:lncRNA from 1 species